UGCGCUUCGGUCGCAAGUCAAAUGACGACAGUUGUCAGACGUUUCCAUCGUUUUUACUUUCUAGCUCUGCUGUUGUCAUGGUGGAAUGACAACGGCACGUGUUUUGUUUGUAUUUGCUUGAACGCGAAAUAUUUUUUUUUACUUACUUCACGAAUUAAAGUGAAAAAACUUGUUCUCAAGCUUUAGGUUCUAAAACCAGUCAAAUAGUGAAAAAGGUAGUAAAAAAAUCCUUUAUGUUUAUUCUUUUUGCACAAGUGCACUAAAAUGCCAGCUAACUGCUGUGUGCCAUACUGUGAUACUGGUCAUGUUAAAAAUGGAAAGUUAAUCAGACGAGCCAUGUUUACAGCUCCUAAAAAUGACAUUCAGCGUGAAAUGUGGGCAAGGAUGAUUCCAAGAAAAGGCACCCUGAAUCCAACAGAUAAAGUGUGUUCAAUACAUUUUGAAGAACAUGACAUUCAUAAAGCAAAUAAGUUUAUCAUUGAAGACAAAGAAGUUUUUCUCCCCAUGCUUAAUUGGAGGUUGAAACAAAAUGCACUUCCUCGAAUUUUUCCAGGAUGCCCCAGUAACUUAAACAAAUCACCUAAGAAGAGAAAACCUCCCAAGGAUAGAAGCAAACCCUCAGUAAAAUCAACAAAACUGUCUCAUGAUUCUGUGAUCCAGCAAGUAUCAGUCACCCAAGAAGAAGAAAUGAAUGGUUCUAAUUCCCAUCUAAACCUGGUUAAUGACAACACAAUAUCAUUACUGUCGCCUUUUCAAUUCCCACCCCUUACCAACACCUAUUUCAAGAAAAAGAAAAUUUCUAGUGAAGAGGAACACUCUACCGUAGCUCGCGAAGAAUUGCCGUCUGAAUCCUUGAACAACUUCUCUUCAAAAUCGAUUGAUAUGCAACUGUCAGUCAUUCCAACAAGUUGACUUAGCGCUUAGUCACUUUCCAUCCAAUAGAGUCAUCAUGCUGUCAAAAGCCUAAAAUUAAAGUUUCAAGCCCACAUAUAGUGGAAUACAAAUGUGCUGAGAUAAGGAUCUUUUCUGAAUGUCGCAAUUUUGGUGGUGUACCCUGCAACAGCAUGUUUUUUGUUAUGGCUGUUUCUACUUCUGCUUAGAAGGCAACCCAGAUGAGGGAUAGAGUUUCAGAGUCAUGAAGAGUGUGAUGUGAAUAACCUGCUGUGGAUUCCAUUUUUACGGUUUUUUAUCAUGAGCAUUUCAGUGUGCUUCUUAGAAAAGAGCACGCAGUUUCUUUAUGAAAUCGUGUGGUCCUGGCAAGGAGAUUCUUGUGCCAAUGCUGACCUUUUCCAUGACGGAAGAGGGACUUCCACCAACGUCCAUCCCUAUCUUCGCGACAUCCUCCUCCAUCCUCAUCUAGCUUAUCAUCUAGCUUUACUGCUUCUAAACACAAUUUGGCGAGUUUCUGGACCACUUCAUGAUCGCUUCCGUCCGCUGUGCAGUCACUCACCACGGGAUUAUGCCCAGGUAAUGCAGAGGAGACGUCUAGAAGAUGGAUUUUGUCAUCCUUAACGGUCGUCACCGGUCUCCGUCGGAUGUUGCCCCUCUCCUGGUGCGAACGAAACUCGUCAUCAACGUGGAUCAUCGUAUUGUUGGUAUUAUUUCGUUUGUGUUAGUUAACCCGUUGUCUACCACGCCUUUGUUCUCCCCUGCACGGGCCGUGCUGUUCGGUCUCGUGGUUUACAAGCCGCGGGGUCGGAGAGUCGCCAAGCCCAAAAUUUGCCGCAAGGCAAGCCUGUUAUAAGGCAAUGCACCUUAAUCCCCCCCCCCCUUGUCAGUACGGACUUGUCAGCAAUGG